rnacentral:rRNA from 1 species
CCUACGGGAGGCAGCAGUGGGGAAUAUUGGACAAUGGGCGAAAGCCUGAUCCAGCCAUGCCGCGUGUGUGAAGAAGGCCUUCGGGUUGUAAAGCACUUUCAGUGGGGAAGAAAGCCUUGGGGCUAAUACCCUCGAGGCAGGACAUCACCCACAGAAGAAGCACCGGCUAACUCCGUGCCAGCAGCCGCGGUAAUACGGAGGGUGCGAGCGUUAAUCGGAAUUACUGGGCGUAAAGCGCGCGUAGGCGGUCUGAUAAGCCGGUUGUGAAAGCCCCGGGCUCAACCUGGGAACGGCAUCCGGAAACUGUCAGGCUAGAGUGCAGGAGAGGCAGGUAGAAUUCCCGGUGUAGCGGUGAAAUGCGUAGAGAUCGGGAGGAAUACCAGUGGCGAAGGCGGCCUUCUGGACUGACACUGACGCUGAGGUGCGAAAGCGUGGGUAGCAAACAGGAUUAGAUACCCGUGUAGUC